UCGGCAAAUCUCUAUUUUCAUUGUUUUCUUUCCCACCCAGAUACACCUUCAAGUCCUCAACGAGACGAGCCGCCAUGGCUGGAGGCUCCAUUUUCGCCAAAACUCUGAGACCCAAAACUUUCAUUCUUUCGCCAUGGCUGCAAUUUCCUUGGUAAGAGCAACUCAUAGAUAGAAUCAUUCCUUGGUUUUGUGCGGCCAAGGUGUAGUGCAGCUAAGGUGUUUGAUAAAAAGCCUCUGAGAAUUUUGGUUUCAAAAACAAGCUCCAUUUUCGUUUUCGUUGCUCAAUUUGGAGUAAAGGUUUGGCUAGAAGAACAAGGAUAAGCCUGUACCUAGAGCAGUAAACCCAUCUUGGAAACCGUAUGCAAAAUCUAGAAGACAAAACCCACCUGUUUUUUAAAGGGUGAUGACAAGGCUUUUUUCAAAUUCAAAGUAGGAUCUCAAGAGAUUGCAAAAGCAGCACUGUUUGAUGUUCAACACACUUGCUCAGCCUUCAAGCCAGUGCUCAAAAUAUAUGAGAGUGACUCACUUGCUCAAAGAGAGGACCGAGAAGCCAACGAAGAAGAGAGAUGCGUCUCUCUUGGCUAAGAGGGACAUGGAUCGGAGACGGAAGGUGAAGGGAGCUAGAGAGUUGAGGGUUUAGUAGAUCCAGAUCUAGAUCUACUUCUCUCUACUAACCUUUUGCGGAAUGAAAAUAGCCAUUAAUCCUAGCCCAUUAUUAAUCGUAUCUCGAGGACCGAUAGAGUUAUUAUUUUCAUUAAACUAAGUCCAAUGCUCUUUGUACUGUUCAUAAUGCCCACUGAUCUGGCACCCAUAGUCACUAUUGUCCUAUGUUCUGUAUACUGUUCAUACUAUACAAACUGAUGUCA